UGGAUGAUGUGAAUUAAUUCGAUGCAACGCGAAGAACCUUACCUACCCUUUGACAUGUCCGGAACUUGCCAGAGAUGGCUUGGUGCCCGAAAGGGAAUCGGAACACAGGUGCUGCAUGGCUGUCGUCAGCUCGUGUCGUGAGAUGUUGGGUUAAGUCCCGCAACGAGCGCAACCCUUAUCAUUAGUUGCUACGCAAGGGCACUCUAAUGAGACUGCCGGUGACAAACCGGAGGAAGGUGGGGAUGACGUCAAGUCCUCAUGGCCCUUAUGGGUAGGGCUUCACACGUCAUACAAUGGUCGGUACAGAGGGUUGCCAAGCCGCGAGGCGGAGCCAAUCCCACAAAGCCGAUCGUAGUCCGGAUUGUUCUCUGCAACUCGAGAGCAUGAAGUCGGAAUCGCUAGUAAUCGCAGGUCAGCAUACUGCGGUGAAUACGUUCCCGGGUCUU
rnacentral:rRNA from 1 species